GGGGAUAUAUCUCAGUAGUAGAGUGCUUGCCUAGCAUGCAUGAGGCCUUGGGUUCGAUCUCCAACAUCACCC
rnacentral:tRNA from 1 species